AUUGAACGCUGGCGGCAGGCCUAACACAUGCAAGUCGAGCGGCAGCGGGACCUUCGGGUUGCCGGCGAGCGGCGGACGGGUGAGUAAUGCCUAGGAAUCUGCCUGUUAGUGGGGGAUAACGCGGGGAAACUCGCGCUAAUACCGCAUACGUCCUACGGGAGAAAGCGGGGGCUCUUCGGACCUCGCGCUAACAGAUGAGCCUAGGUCGGAUUAGCUAGUUGGUGGGGUAAUGGCCCACCAAGGCGACGAUCCGUAACUGGUCUGAGAGGAUGAUCAGUCAGACUGGAACUGAGACACGGACCAGACUCCUACGGGAGGCAGCAGUGGGGAAUAUUGGACAAUGGGCUAAAGCCUGAUCCAGCCAUGCCGCGUGUGUGAAGAAGGUCUUCGGAUUGUAAAGCACUUUAAGUCGGGAGGAAGGGCUGUAGGCUAAUACCUUGCAGUUUUGACGUUACCGACAGAAUAAGCACCGGCUAACUUCGUGCCAGCCGCCGCAGUAA
rnacentral:rRNA from 1 species